CAGCAAAUAGUUUAAAAAAAAAUUAAGUUUUUGGGAAAUUUAGAUAGAAAAUACUUUUGUUGA
rnacentral:tRNA from 1 species